GACGAACGCUGGCGGCGUGCUUAAAACAUGCAAGUUGAACGGACUUCUCAUGAAGCUUGCGAUUGAGAAGUUAGUGGCGGACGGGUGAGUAACGCGUGGGCAACCUGCCCCUGAGCCCGGGAUAACAGUUCGAAAGGACUGCUAAGACCGGAUAUACUUGCGGUGAAGCAUUUCACUGCAAGGAAAGGGAACGCUCAGGGAUGGGCCCGCGUCCCAUUAGCUAGUUGGUGAGGUAACGGCCCACCAAGGCGACGAUGGGUAGCCGGCCUGAGAGGGUGAACGGCCACACUGGGACUGAGACACGGCCCAGACUCCUACGGGAGGCAGCAGUUGGGAAUCUUCGGCAAUGGGCGCAAGCCUGACCGAGCAACGCCGCGUGAGUGAUGAAGGUUUUCGGAUUGUAAAGCUCUGUCUUCCGGGACGAUAAUGACGGUACCGGAGGAGGAAGCCACGGCUAACUACGUG
rnacentral:rRNA from 1 species